GGGUGGACGUCGGAGUACCCAAAAUUCACCUCUUAAGGGAAUUGCAAAGCCUUCCACAAUCAACUCGGCAUCUCUGGCGCAACAUCCGUGGAGGAAAAGGAAAUAUUUUACGACAUAAAAAAAAAUGUAUGUUGCAAUAAUCACAGCAAGUUGUCACCUUGAAGUUUCGCCGUGUUGCUGCAUGGCCUGUCAGUUUUUGUCCACCAGCUGCUGACGCCUUUUGUCCAUCUUCCUGUGGAGCUCAUGGAUGCGGUGAACAGCUUUGCUGACACUUGGACAGGGACUGUUGAGCGUUGCACUUGUGCGACGUCGUCCGAAGGAGACGUGUCAGGGAGAGAGAAGCAAACUCCCAGCAGAGCCAAGAUGGGGAAAGUGCGCCAUCUGGAGAGGAAACCGGAGUACCCGAAGAAAACCCACGCAGGCACAAGGAGAACAUGCAAAGUCCAUAAAGGAAUGCUGGAGUCAGGAACAAACCCCACAUCUCUGUACUGUGAGGCCGACGAGGCAACCAGUUCACCACUGUGCUGCCGAACAACUCCAUAAUUACCUGAAUUAAUACAUUUCGCUUUUAUUCAUGUAUGUAAUGGGAUAUUUA